rnacentral:misc_RNA from 1 species
AAUUGCACCAAAACAAGCAGCAACACAAUCAAAGCAGCCACACCCCACGGCGAGCUUCCCUCCGAUGGACGGUGGUAGGUCCGCCGUUUCCAGCCCCACGGUGUUUUAGCAAAUAACAUGUCAGGAUUUUCCAUAGAUGACAACCAACGGACGAGAAGGAGCAACGCUAAAGGUGUGGCCAAAAGCAACCAAUUCAUUUGCAUCUCUGCAGUCUCUGCAAUUUCUUCAUAGCUGAAGUACCAUGAUAUGCCAAGAAAGAUUGAUAUGACUGCUAAGAUUAGAAGAACUGGGUAUGGCAGAGGAUUGAGUGUGAAAGCAUCAAAGAUUGAGUUGCUUCUUCUGCCAUAGUAGUAGUAGGUCAUUUUCUUGGCUUGGGAGGCUUGUUUCAAAAAUAAUUG